UAGGGAAUCUUCGGCAAUGGGGGGAACCCUGACCGAGCAACGCCGCGUGAGUGAAGAAGGUUUUCGGAUCGUAAAGCUCUGUUGUUAAGGAAGAACGAGUGUGAGAAUGGAAAGUUCAUGCUGUGACGGUACUUAACCAGAAAGGGACGGCUAACUACGUGCCAGCAGCCGCGGUAAUACGUAGGUCCCGAGCGUUGUCCGGAUUUAUUGGGCGUAAAGCGAGCGCGGGCGGUUAGAUAAGUGUGAAGUUAAAGGCAGUGGCUCAACCAUUGUAGGCUUUGGAAACUGUUUAACUUGAGUGCAGAGGGGGAGAGUGGAAUUCCGUGUGUAGCGAUGAAAUGCGUAGAUGUAUGGAGGAACACCGGUAGCGAGUGCGGCUAUCUGGUCUGUAACUGACGCUGAGGCUCGAAAGCGUGGGGAGCGAACAGA
rnacentral:rRNA from 1 species